UUAAGAAUUUUGCGCAAUGGGCGAAAGCCUGACGCAGCGACGCCGCGUGGACGAUGAAGGUCUUCGGAUUGUAAAGUCCAGUAAGCAGGGACGAAUAAGCAAGGGGUAAUAUUCCUUGUGAUGACGGUACCUGUCUAAAGCCUCGGCUAACUACGUGCCAGCAGCCGCGGUAAUCCGUAUGAGGCGAGCGUUGUUCGGCAUUAUUGGGCAUAAAGGGCGUGUAGGCGGGGGACUAAGUUAGGUGUGAAAGCCAGGGGCUCAACCCGGGAAUUGCAGCUAAUACUGGUUCUCUUGAGUGCGGGAGAGGAGAGGGGAAUUCCAGGUGUAGCGGUGAAAUGCGUAGAUAUCUGGAAGAACACCAGUGGCGAAGGCGGCUCUCUGGCCUAGGACUGACGCUAAGGCGCGAAAGCGUGGGGAGCGAACG
rnacentral:rRNA from 1 species